rnacentral:lncRNA from 10 species
GCGUCGUCAGAGUGACGGUACAGUGCCUGGAGCUGGGCUGUUUUGUCUUCAGAGUGGUGCCUGGUAACCGCGACUUCCCCGCCAUGUUCUGUGUGUUGCUGGCUGGAGAAGGGUGGUUGACAAACUCUGACCCAGCACGGUGUUUCUGUGGGUCAAAACUAGAAAACUAUAUCCGGGCGCCGAGGUGAAAGGAUCCCUUCAGGCCAGGAGUUAAAGAGCAGCCUAGGCAACGUGGCGCGACCCCAUCUCUGUAGUCCCACCUCAGCUUCCCAGAUACUUGAACCCCAAAGUUCAAGGCUGCAGUGAGCUAUGAUCCCAUCACAGCACUCCAGCCUGCGAGACUGAGGUAAACCCUGUCUAAAAAAGUAAAAAAACUAUCCAAGUGUGCAACAGGGAGGGACUGCUUAAAGAAAACAGAAUUGUAUGUUCAAAUACUUUUAACAAGUGCAAAAUGUAUAGGCUGAAAUAAAUAGAGCUGGCCGAGCGCGUUUGCUCACGCCUGUAAUGCCAACAUUUUCGGUGCCCUAGGCAGGCCAUCACUUGAAGUCAGGAACUCGAGGCCAGCCUGGCCAACAUGGUGAAACCCCAUGUCUACUAAAAA